AUUUGUUACUUCAAAAUUCAAAAUUUCAAAUCCUAUAAUUGCUAAAAGUUAAUAUCUCAAAAGCCCAAAAAGACCAUUUUCCUUUUCUCUCAUCAUGUCUGGCUAUCCUCAUCCUCCAUCAGGCUACGGCUACGGUGUUCCACCGCCGCCGCAACCUUACGGAGCCUCUCCCCAAUACGGUGCCCCGGCACCAGCUCAGCCCUACGGCGCACCAUCAGCUCCUUAUGGUGCACCCUACGCACCCCCAGCGGGCGACAAGCCCCCAAAGGACAAACCCCACUCCUCUGCACCUGCAUACGCACACGGCGGUUACCCACCGUCGGCUUCGUAUGGAAGCCCGUUAGCCUCAUUAGUACCCUCGGCUUUCCCUCCAGGGACGGAUCCCAACGUCCUCGCUUGCUUUCAACUCGCAGAUCAGGACGGGAGUGGGUUUAUCGACGAUAAGGAGUUGCAGAGAGCUCUCUCCAGUUAUAAUCAGAGCUUCAGCUUGAGAACUGUUCAUCUUCUCAUGUAUCACUUCACCAAUACCAACACCAGGAAGAUCGGGCCGAAGGAAUUCACUUCGGUGUAUUACAGUCUUCAGAACUGGAAGGCCAUGUUCGAGAGAUUUGAUAAGGAUAGGAGUGGAAGGAUUGAUCCUAAUGAGCUGCGGGAGGCACUAUACAGUUUAGGAUACGCAGUCUCACCUGUCGUUUUGGAUUUGCUGGUCUCUAAGUUUGACAAAAGUGGAGGCAAAAAUAGGGCCAUUGAAUAUGACAAUUUCAUUGAGUGCUGUCUAACUGUUAAGGGUCUGACUGAGAAAUUCAAGGAGAAGGAUUCGUCAUAUUCUGGCUCAGCAACUUUCACCUAUGAGGUCUUCAUGCUAACUGUUCUGCCGUUCCUUAUAGCAUGAAAACUGAAAGUUCUUUAAGCUUUGUUUUAUUUCUUUGCUUUAGUUAAAAAUAAGCCGUUGCUUGUUUAUGUUGUAAAACAAUUUUAAGUUUAAUGAAUGUCAGUGUGCAGAUAGAUUUCUAUGUUGUAAU
rnacentral:misc_RNA from 1 species